AUCACAGGCUGUUCUAAUGCUGCUCAAACAAUAUUGAGAAUAACCCCGGCUCAAUAGCACCAGUGUUAGGCUGCAAAGUCAAUAUUGGCUGAGCAAACAGGGUCAGUCUCAUGGACAAGAUUACUCACGAAGAAAAAAGGAAAGUGAAAGUUUUAGUCGUUCAGUUGUGUCCAGCUCUUUGCAACUCCAUGGACUGUAGCUCACCAGGCUCCUCUAUCCAUGGAAUUCUUCAGGCAAGAAUACUGGAGGCACUGGAGGCUGAGGCAGCGACGCCAUCCCUGAAGGUCAUCCUGCAGUUUCCAAAAUGGAUGGUUCUCAAGAUCGGGUCUGGAAGCUGUGUGGAACCUCCUGGAGGCUCGUGCUGACCCCUCAGCUGUGAGCAGGUGGGGGUGGCGCUGGCCGGGAAGCAUCUGCAAAGCUCACAUCGCCUGUGGGUCUGCCUCCAGUGCCUCCAGAGAAGAAAGUCCUCUCCCCUCCUUCACUUCCCAAAAAGCACAUGAGGAUAUCGUUGGCAGAGCAUCUCAUCAAGACCUGGUGCAGAAGGGGAACCUGGGAGCUCCCCAUUCCUGGGAGAGACUGUGCGGCAGGGUGGCAGGAGGUCUAAGUGAUAAUGGACAGUCCAGUGUGGCUGCUGCUGGGCAAGGCUGGGGUCUGAACUCAGAUCUCAGGCCUUCACAUCCUCUGCUUCAUUUCCCAAACCACGCUGACCCCUGUCCAACAUCC